UACGUAGGGGGCAAGCGUUGUCCGGAAUCAUUGGGCGUAAAGAGCGCGUAGGCGGUCCGGUAAGUCGGUUGUGAAACUGGGGGCUCAACCCUCAGAGGCCGACCGAUACUGUCGGGCUAGAGUCCGGAAGAGGCGAGUGGAAUUCCUGGUGUAGCGGUGAAAUGCGCAGAUAUCAGGAGGAACACCAAUGGCGAAGGCAGCUCGCUGGGACGGUACUGACGCUGAGACGCGAAAGCGUGGGGAGCGAACCGG
rnacentral:rRNA from 1 species